GACGUAGGGCGCGAGCGUUGUCCGGAUUUAUUGGGCGUAAAGAGCUCGUAGGCGGCUUGUCGCGUCGUCCGUGAAAACUCACAGCUCAACUGUGAGCUUGCGGUCGAUACGGGCAGGCUAGAGUUCGGUAGGGGAGACUGGAAUUCCUGGUGUAGCGGUGAAAUGCGCAGAUAUCAGGAGGAACACCGGUGGCGAAGGCGGGUCACUGGCCCGGUACUGACGCUGAGGUGCGAAAGCGUGGGGAGCAAACAGG
rnacentral:rRNA from 1 species